rnacentral:lncRNA from 1 species
AUGUUUUAUAAAAAGAUUGCCACAAAAGCCUUUGCGGACAUUCAAAUAGGACAUUCUGAUUUUUUGAUAAAAGACAACAUAAAUUUAUUAGAUCAAAUGGAGAAACGAGUACAAAGGACAAAGAUUGUGAAGGGAGUCAUCCCAUUAGCAAUACGACCAGUUUAGUCGGUUCGGCCGGAUUAAUGCCUACCUAUUGUUUGGUUUCAUUCAACACCAAAACUAGCAAACUCAUCCAAGACAUUCAUUCAUAUAACACCAAAACUUAA